rnacentral:rRNA from 1 species
UACGGAGGGUGCAAGCGUUAUCCGGAUUCACUGGGUUUAAAGGGUGCGUAGGUGGGCAGGUAAGUCAGUGGUGAAAUCUCUGGGCUUAACCCAGAAACUGCCGUUGAUACUAUUUGUCUUGAAUGUAGUGGAGGUGAGCGGAAUAUGUCAUGUAGCGGUGAAAUGCUUAGAUAUGACAUAGAACACCAAUUGCGAAGGCAGCUCGCUACACUACUAUUGACACUGAGGCACGAAAGCGUGGGGAUCAAACAGG